rnacentral:lncRNA from 10 species
UAAUAGGUGGGUGUGGAAGUUUAGCUCACCACUGUGCCUUGCUGACCCAGAGAUGGGGUACAGGAACCUGCUUACUAGUCCUAACACCACCGUCAGUCUAGUUGAUGCUAAGUAGGAGCGGAGGCUCAGUUGCAGCUGGUCCCUGGCAGGGGAUUCUGAGUACUGCCUGCUUCUUCUGGACAAGUAAUGGAAGGUCACACUAUCCUCUCAUAAAGUGAGAGCAAGACGGCCAAGCCCAGGAAACUGCAAGAGUGCCUUAUGAACUGACACGGAAAGUUUGGGAGCAGAUACAUGCACACUGGAAGACCACCAUGUGAAGAAUGGACUUAUGCUGCCACAUCCAGGGAAACACCAGAGACUGGGAGAGAGUACUGGAGCAGAUCCUUCCUUAGUGUCCUGCAGACACUGUGAUCUCAGACUUCUGGGCUCCAGAACUUAGAGAGAAUAAACUUCUCUUUUUUGACCCACUCAUUUUGUAAUAUUUUGUCACGGCAGCCCUAGAACAUUAAUACGCUCUUCUUUUCCAGCUGUGGAAGCUGCCCACAUUCCUUGGCUUUUGUCUCCUUCCUCCAUCUUCAGAGCCAGCAGCAUUGCAUCUCUCUGACUUCUUUCAUAGUUGCAUCUCCCCCUAACCACAGCCAGAACGCCUUCUCCAAUUUUAAAAACUCAUGUGACAGUAAGCCCAUCUAGGUAAUCCAGAAUAAUCUCUCCACAUCAAUGUCUUUAAUUUAAUCCCAUCUACAAAGUCUCUUUUGCCAUGUAAGGUAACACAUUCAGAAGUUCCGGGGAUUAGGGCAUAGGCAGCUUUGGGUAGUGGGCAUUAUUCUGCCCACCUGAGAAGAAUAAAUUUUAAAGCAUCAUAAUAAAAU